rnacentral:rRNA from 1 species
GAUGAACGCUAGCGGCAGGCUUAACACAUGCAAGUCGAGGGGUAUAGUUCUUCGGAAUUAGAGACCGGCGCACGGGUGCGUAACGCGUAUGCAAUCUACCUUUCACAGAGGGAUAGCCCCAGAGAAAUUUGGAUUAAUACCUCAUAGUAUAGCAGUUUCGCAUGAAACCACUAUUAAAGUUCCAACGGUAAAGAUGAGUAUGCGUCCCAUUAGCUAGAUGGUAAGGUAACGGCUUACCAUGGCAAUGAUGGGUAGGGGUCCUGAGAGGGAGAUCCCCACACUGGUACUGAGACACGGACCAGACUCCUACGGGAGGCAGCAGUGAGGAAUAUUGGACAAUGGGCGCAAGCCUGAUCCAGCCAUGCCGCGUGCAGGAAUAAAGGUCCUAUGGAUUGUAAACUGCUUUUAUACAGGAGAAACAACUCCCUCGUCGAGGGAAACCGUUGACGGUACUGUAUGAAUAAGCAUCGGCUAACUCCGU